GUGAACGCCCUCACGGGCUUAUAACUAUUCCAAACCUCUGUGAACCGUGCCCUUCGGGGCUAUUUUACAAACAUGGUGUGAUGAACGUCAUAUAUCAUAACAAAACA
rnacentral:misc_RNA from 1 species